rnacentral:rRNA from 1 species
CAGUAGCCGCGGUAAUACAGAGGGUGCGAGCGUUAAUCGGAUUUACUGGGCGUAAAGCGUGCGUAGGCGGCUUCUUAAGUCGGAUGUGAAAUCCCUGAGCUUAACUUAGGAAUUGCAUUCGAUACUGGGAAGCUAGAGUAUGGGAGAGGAUGGUAGAAUUCCAGGUGUAGCGGUGAAAUGCGUAGAGAUCUGGAGGAAUACCGAUGGCGAAGGCAGCCAUCUGGCCUAAUACUGACGCUGAGGUACGAAAGCGUGGGGAGCAAACAGGAUUAGAUACCCGGGUAGUCCCUGUCUCUUAUAA